GACGAACGCUGGCGGCGUGCUUAACACAUGCAAGUCGAACGGAAAGGCCCUGCUUUUGUGGGGUGCUCGAGUGGCGAACGGGUGAGUAACACGUGAGUAACCUGCCCUUGACUUUGGGAUAACUUCAGGAAACUGGGGCUAAUACCGGAUAGGAGCUCCUGCUGCAUGGUGGGGGUUGGAAAGUGUCGGCGGUUGGGGAUGGACUCGCGGCUUAUCAGCUUGUUGGUGGGGUAGUGGCUUACCAAGGCUUUGACGGGUAGCCGGCCUGAGAGGGUGACCGGCCACAUUGGGACUGAGAUACGGAGCAGACUCCUACGGGAGGCAGCAGUGGGGAAUAUUGCACAAUGGGCGGAAGCCUGAUGCAGCAACGCCGCGUGCGGGAUGACGGCCUUCGGGUUGUAAACCGCUUUCGCCUGUGACGAAGCGUGAGUGACGGUAAUGGGUAAAGAAGCCCCGGCUAACUACGUG
rnacentral:rRNA from 1 species